rnacentral:hammerhead_ribozyme from 1 species
AUCCAUAUGAUGAGUCCAGACUAGGAAGAAACGCGCGUUCUGGAU